AGAGUUUGAUCCUGGCUCAGGAUGAACGCUGGCGGCGUGCCUAACACAUGCAAGUCGAACGGAGAUUACAGACGGAAGUUUUCGGAUGGAAGACUGUAAUUCUUAGUGGCGGACGGGUGAGUAACGCGUGGGCAACCUGCCCUAUACAGGGGGAUAGCAGCUGGAAACGGCUGGUAAGACCGCAUAAGUCGGCGAGACCGCAUGGUUUUGUCGGGAAAUGAGCAAUCAGGUAUAGGAUGGGCCCGCGUCCGAUUAGCCAGUUGGCAGGGUAAAAGCCUACCAAAGCAACGAUCGGUAGCCGGACUGAGAGGUCGGACGGCCACAUUGGGACUGAGACACGGCCCAAACUCCUACGGGAGGCAGCAGUGGGGAAUAUUGCACAAUGGGGGAAACCCUGAUGCAGCGACGCCGCGUGAGUGAAGAAGUAUUUCGGUAUGUAAAGCUCUAUCAGCAGGGAAGAUGAUGACGGUACCUGACUAAGAAGCCCCGGCUAACUACGUGCCAGCAGCCGCGGUAAUACGUAGGGGGCAAGCGUUAUCCGGAUUUACUGGGUGUAAAGGGAGCGCAGGCGGUUUGGCAAGUUGAGAGUGGAAGCAGGGGGCUCAACCCCCUGACUGCUCCCAAAACUGUUAAACUUGAGUAUGGGAGAGGCAGGCGGAAUUCCUAGUGUAGCGGUGAAAUGCUUAGAUAUUAGGAAGAACACCGGUGGCGAAGGCGGCCUGCUGGACCAAAACUGACGCUGAGGCUCGAAAGCGUGGGUAGCAAACAGGAUUAGAUACCCUGGUAGUCCACGCUGUAAACGAUGAAUACUAGGUGCUGGGAGGCAUAAGCCUUUCGGUGCCGUCGCAAACGCAUUAAGUAUUCCACCUGGGGAGUACGUUCGCAAGAAUGAAAC
rnacentral:rRNA from 1 species